UAGAGCACCGCCCUGUCAAGGCGGAAGUUGCGGGUUCGAGCCCCGCCAGUCCCG
rnacentral:tRNA from 1 species